rnacentral:lncRNA from 1 species
GAAGAGUAGUGCAUGGGGGUCUGAAGAGAGAGCUGAGAGGUCACGAUGCCAAGUGUUCCGAUCCCCAUGGCCCCCCUCUCACUUGCCAUCCACUCACUCGCGGAUGCCCACAGAACCCGCCUGUGCACAGAGCCUCAAGCGGUGUGAUACCCUCUCCUCCAGAAGGAUCCAUGGCAGAGAAGGAAGGGCCAUGGUCUGGAGUCAAGUCUAUAAGAGCAAAACCCCAACCCUGGCUUCCUGCCCGGCCUCCCUUUCCCUUCCCUUUCUGCCUCACUGCCUCCAUUCUGAAUCACAUCCAAAACACACCACAUACCCUCCCACCUGGGGUUCCAUCUCCUUCUGGGAGAUGGCCUUCUCCUAGAAGCCCUGCCAACCUGGCCCUUCAGGGCCACUACCCUGGCCAGCCACAGGGACAUGACCCCACCCCAAAUCUCACUAGAACACCCCAAAUUCCAGACAUCACUGACCCAUGCUCCCUCCUCUUCUAACUUCCCUACAACUAAAUUCUAACUGGAAGAAUUCCCCAGCCAACACAGAAGCAUGGUGACUUACUUCUGGUGAGUCCAAAGUUUGAGAAAACAAGACUUGAAAAAAGCAACACUCUCCGGACUGCGUCCUCAACCUGUCUCACUUUCAACAGCUGAGGAAGGAUGGGAAUGGGGUGCUCCAGUAAUGUGGCAAUAGUCAGCCCCCAAUAUAUGACACGGCAAUAAACGCAUUGAGACUGCAGGAUGGUCUCCUAUAAACUCUUUGACGGUCCUCCCAGCAGGAAACAAGACAUCAUUCUCAUGUAGAUUUCUCCGAUUUUCCCUAGAGGAACUCAUAAACUCCACAGGUGUUACUGAAGGGAGAAAAGCUGGGCUGAGAGGCGACUGGUGUCUAAUUUGUUUGUCUCUCCAACUCAGACUGCCUGGCCCACAGCCACAGCUCAGCCCCGAGCUGCUCUACAUCUGUGCACAGAAUGUCAGAGAGUGUUUCUUUGGAGAAUAUCUUUAAGUGCUCUCAAAUGGAACUACAGAGCCAUCAGCUAUGUCCCCUCCGAUUGCAGUAAGAACUGAAUGGAAGAGAAGGACCUUCAGAAUAAAGCCAGGGAAGCAGAAACCACUGAAAACCUUCUCUCUGGAACCAACCAGGCAGGGCCCAAGCAGUGUUUUGAAUCUCCUUAGCCUAUCAUUCAUAAGAACACAAACUAAUUAUCUGCAAUCCCUUUGGAUAUCAUUUCAAACAAUAAAAAUAAGGACACCCGUUCAUUAAGUGGACUUGUCUCGGUUUACUGCUCCCCUGCACCUUAUUAGAAGGGCCAAUGCUUUGCCAUUAUUCUGCUGAACACAGGCCACAGCUGUCUUCGUAAGUCAACACAAACCUCUCCAACCCCCA